AGAUUGAACGCUGGCGGCAGGCCUAACACAUGCAAGUCGAGCGGUAGAGAGGUGCUUGCAUCUCUUGAGAGCGGCGGACGGGUGAGUAAUGCCUAGGAAUCUGCCUAGUGGUGGGGGAUAACGUUCGGAAACGGACGCUAAUACCGCAUACGUCCUACGGGAGAAAGCGGGGGACCUUCGGGCCUCGCGCCAUUAGAUGAGCCUAGGUCGGAUUAGCUAGUUGGUGAGGUAAUGGCUCACCAAGGCGACGAUCCGUAACUGGUCUGAGAGGAUGAUCAGUCACACUGGAACUGAGACACGGUCCAGACUCCGUACGGGAGCAGCGAGUGGGAAUAGUUGGACAAUGGGCAAAGGCCUGAUCCGAGCCAUGCCGCGUGUGU
rnacentral:rRNA from 1 species